UGCAAGCAUGAAUCUAAGUUGCUUUGGAUAAAAGCAUCUGCUAAAUGACAUUCA
rfam:Salmo salar isolate Sally breed double haploid chromosome ssa04, whole genome shotgun sequence.